UUUGAAGGGUAUGCCCGGAAGUUUUUAUGUCUUCAUGCUAGUAAACUUCAAAGUGGUAUAAGCUUUUCCACUGAUUGCCACGUCGAGCUCUGUGAGUAACAGCAGGUUUUUAAAUUACUGUACUUUUUCCUUUAACAAACCUGACGUCUGGGAGAAACACUAGAAGAGGGAGCCAAAACAAAUUUGUCUGCGUGGAACUGUUAACAACUUGGACUCUGCCUGUUCCUGUGAGCACAGCAAGGACAGAGUGAGCAGUCGUUGAGAUAUCAUGAGGCAACUCAAAGGCAAACCCAAAAAAGAAACGUCCAAGGACAAGAAGGAACGUAAGCAGGCCAUGCAGGAAGCCCGACAGCAGGUGGCCACUAUAGUACUGCCUACACUAGCUGUAGUGGUGCUGCUCAUUGUUGUCUUUGUCUAUGUGGCCACCAGGCCUGGUGCUAUAGAGUAGACAUUGAAGUUCUACUAAGAAGACAUGAACUCCUAGACUAACGGGCUCUGAAAACUGACAAUGGCUAUACCCAAAGGAUUACCCCCAUCAUGUGACAACCUGUCUGACAGCCACCCCUAAACUGUGUUUCUUUGCUUUAAGAAAGAUUCAAGCUGCAGAAAGAAGAAAUCAAACUGAGCAGAGAAACAAUUGCUCCUUAGUGCCUUCAGAUAACAUCAUCAACAUCCAUUUAAUACUGUUCAUUUUAGAGCAGUACAUGUAUUAUUGUUGAUGUCUUACAAAAUUAUGCAAUAUCAUGCAUACCAAAAGACUCGUGCACAGCCUGCCAAGUUUGACCAGAGGUGGAAAAUAAUGUCUAAACUUUUGACUCGGUGCUAUUCUGAAUAAUUCAAGUCAAUGCAACAUGAGCCUGCUCUCUAACGUGUACCACUCUUUGGACAGCCCCUACGCCUAUUUGAAUCAAUAAUAUGUAUGAAAACUGUUUCAGGGACAAGAAGUAUUCAGUUUGCUCCUGCCUUGUCGAACAUCUAAAUGGAGCUCUAGAGUAUCUUAUUGAAUGUAAUUGUAAAAUAUGUUCUCUUAAGUCCAGUAUGUUCAAACACACCCAAAUGUCCUCAUCUUUAAUGUGAAAGUUACCCAAUUUGUUUAUAUUAAGUUAUUGACAACUAUACCUUUGAGUUAUUCAUGACAUAUGUGCAGAUAUAAUAAGGUGCCUUAAGAGAUUUGCAAUUAGUAUUUCAGUUAAAUAAAAAAAUAAAAAUU